rnacentral:rRNA from 1 species
GACGAACGCUGGCGGCGUGCCUAAUACAUGCAAGUCGAACGAGAGCGACCGGUGCUUGCACUGGUCAAUCUAGUGGCGAACGGGUGAGUAACACGUGGGUAACCUGCUCAUCAGAGGGGGAUAACAUCCGGAAACGGAUGCUAAAACCGCAUAGGUCUUCGAGCCGCAUGGCUUGAAGAGGAAAAGAGGCGCAAGCUUCUGCUGAUGGAUGGACCCGCGGUGCAUUAGCUAGUUGGUGAGGUAACGGCUCACCAAGGCCGUGAUGCAUAGCCGACCUGAGAGGGUGAUCGGCCACAUUGGGACUGAGACACGGCCCAAACUCCUACGGGAGGCAGCAGUAGGGAAUCUUCCGCAAUGGACGCAAGUCUGACGGAGCAACGCCGCGUGAGUGAAGAAGGUUUUCGGAUCGUAAAACUCUGUUGUUAGAGAAGAACAAGUGCUAGAGUAACUGUUAGCGCCUUGACGGUAUCUAACCAGAAAGCCACGGCUAACUACGU